UCUGGCAAUCGCAGUGAUAUCAAAUGGUAAGUUGGCACAUUUUUCCUUUCAUUGUUAAUACAAUUGUCUGUAUCAAGUGAUUUCAGUUUUAUACUUUGUAUUAUAUACAUUGGCAAGUGUGUAAGGAAAAUGUAAUACGCCCAAGCCUGCAGAAAAGCCCAACCAGGCCGCCUGAAGGAACGACGGCAUUUUGAUUGCUAUUCGGUGCUGCUUGGCCCCACCUCCUCGUUGGUUUCUAGUCACCGGUAUCCCCUGCACUUGAAAUCUUCAAUAUCGCAAGUCCCUUGGGUUCUCUCGCUCAUCUCCAUUCGGUUUCAGCCAUCGUGCACCGCCACGCAUGACCAAGUUGUACGUUGAGGCCUUUGUGUGUAGGUUUUGUUGCCAGAGCCUUCGUCUUUAUUCCGCAUUGCUGUUGUUACCCCAUCGGUCAAGUUGGACUAUAAAGGUAUACUAUCAAGAUCCAUCAUUGCUGGUGCCUGAUUCUCAAAACUUUUCUUCAAUGAUGGCACGUGGAAUAGAUUGUGGACUCUAUGGAACUCAGUUGGCAACUUUACAAGGUACGUAACUGCUCCCACUUUAUCCAUUAUCUUAUAGGGUCCCACAUAUCUUAGACUUAAUUUGCCUUACACUCCGAAACAACUUACUUCUCU